rnacentral:lncRNA from 10 species
CAGAUGGGAAUUGAGAGCUGUUAGGAAGGUUAAGUUGGGAGGGGAGGGAAUAGAUGCUAGAAAGCAUGAACACGUGAUGGAUGCCCCCUCCAUCCAUGAAUGACAGCUGACAUUGAUAGAGCCCAUGCUGGUUCAUGAACCAUUUGUUAUUUUCCAGGAUGAGAUGAAAAGAGUAAUUGAGGUUUACAUAUCUGUGAAGGUUGAAUCAACUCCAUCUUGGAUGCUAAUCUGCCAUGUUAGCUUCUGAUUAACCCGUUUUGGGAAAGCCUCUGAGAUUUCCAGUUUAUCUGUUGUUCGUCGUGUAAGAGGACUGUACUUCCUGCAAAUCCUGCCCUCAGGGCAAUUUCCUACCUAUUCUCUGUGAAACAUGUAUGCCUCUCCCCUAGAGUAUAUAAUCUCUGGGUCUGGAGGCUAUUGGUGCCGCAGGGAUCCACCAUCUUGUCUUUCCACCACCCAAGACACAGGCAUGGUUUCUG